rnacentral:rRNA from 1 species
GACGAACGCUGGCGGCGUGCUUAACACAUGCAAGUCGAACGGUGAACCUCUUCGGAGGGGCUCAGUGGCGAACGGGUGGGUAACACGUGGGCAACCUGCCCCCGGCUCUGGGAUAACUCCAAGAAAUUGGGGCUAAUACCGGAUGUUCACCGCUUCCCGCAUGGGUGGUGGUGCAAAGGUUUUCCGGCUGGGGAUGGGCCCGCGGGCUAUCAGCUUGUUGGUGGGGUAGUGGCAUACGAGGGCGAGGACGGGUAGCCGACCUGAGAUGGUCGCCGGCAACCAUGGGCCUGAGAGAGGGCGCAGAAGCGAACGGGAGGCAGAGGGGGAGAAUCUGGCGCAACGAGGCGGAGUCAGACGUGAAGGUGCUGGGAGCGGGAUGAUGUGCUACGGGGGGUGAACAAAUGUGUGCGGAGACGAAGCGGAAUUGACGGUACCUGCAGAAGAAGCACCGGCCAACUACGUG